rnacentral:rRNA from 1 species
CCUACGGGAGGCAGCAGUGGGGAAUCUUGCGCAAUGGGCGAAAGCCUGACGCAGCCAUGCCGCGUGAAUGAUGAAGGUCUUAGGAUUGUAAAAUUCUUUCACCGAGGACGAUAAUGACGGUACUCGGAGAAGAAGCCCCGGCUAACUUCGUGCCAGCAGCCGCGGUAAUACGAAGGGGGCUAGCGUUGCUCGGAAUUACUGGGCGUAAAGGGAGCGUAGGCGGAUAGUUUAGUCAGAGGUGAAAGCCCAGGGCUCAACCUUGGAAUUGCCUUUGAUACUGGCCAUCUUGAGUACGGAAGAGGUAUGUGGAACUCCGAGUGUAGAGGUGAAAUUCGUAGAUAUUCGGAAGAACACCAGUGGCGAAGGCGACAUACUGGUCCGUUACUGACGCUGAGGCUCGAAAGCGUGGGGAGCAAACAGGAUUAGAUACCCUGGUAGUCCACGCUGUAAACGAUGAGUGCUAGUUGUCGGUCGAUGCAUGCAUGUUCGGUUGGACGCGAGCUACG